AAGUCGUAACAAGGUUUCCGUAGGUGAACCUGCGGAAGGAUCAUUAACACGUAUCCAAACGUUAAAACCCCCCCCGUGAACCUUCAUCCUGCUCUUGUAACCCGCGUAGUUCGCAAUCUCUGAUAAAUCAUAGCCCGGAAAGUUGUAGUGAUUCAGAGACCUCUGGCUACGUGCGAACAUUGGAACAGUUACAAUCGAGCGGUAGUUCUAUAGGCAAUGUUUCCCCAAGCAGUCAGUGUCGGAAAGUGUCAUUGAUUGUGCAAGGAUACGAUUCCUGUACCCCACAGUUUAAUGUGAAGCUCAAUGUAAUACAUUGGGUAAAAAAACCGAACAACUGUUAACAAUGGAUAUCUUGGUUCUC
rnacentral:misc_RNA from 1 species